GUUGAUGCAGUUGCCUGUACCUCCUCUUUCCUAUUAAUUAGCCCUGUGCCUAAUUAAGAAAGCAAUCAUUGUCAUCAUGGUAUGAAAGAAGAUAGCUGAGGUAGUUAAAUGUCAGUGUAGACAUUACAGUGUUUAGUUUGUGUCCCCUUUUCCGAACCCAACUUAUGUGGGCUUUGUCUUUCAAUCCUUUGAGGGUUGGUGAAAUACAUAUCUAUAACCACUCCCUUACAAACAUUGGUGCCUAGUCUGAAACACACAUAUUAUUGUCAGUAUGUUAGCAGGAACCCUUGUGUGGUGCUAAGUUUUUAACAAGUGAAAUCAGUUUUGUUUUCAUUCUUAGUAGGAGAGAUCUUUUAAUUCCUUCUACAUUAUGUAUUUUUGGUAUGUUAUGACUUACAAUAUCUUCUUGUCGAUAUAUUUGAGACUUCGUGCCUCUGUAACAAAUCAUCAUCAUCAUCAUCAUCAUCAUAAUCAUUAUUGUAGCAAAUAACGAACCUUGUAGACCUAAAGGUAACCUUCUGAUAACCCAACACUUCACAUCAGUUUCAAUUCCAAAUUGAAGAAUUUUUCACCUCACUGUGGUAUAAAUACUGCCAAGAAAAAGACAAUAAUCUACCAAAAUCUCACUUCCAUCUUCUUCAAAUUGUGGCUUUAUGCUUAAGUGAGAAAUCAUAAUUGCAGAAAAUAUGAUAUUGAACCAAAAGAAUUCCCAAGAAUUUACUGGCUGGUUUUAAAUAACCACCCUUGGAGAAUCACACACCCUAAUUCCACCAUUCUUCAUUCAAUAUAUGUCUGGGGUAUGAUAAAUGCAUAUGUUGAAAAGAAAUCAUUAUUUUGUUCUUUUAUGAUCAAUUUUUGUAUCGCUUCAUCAACAUUGAUGUACCACAUUAACUUGUAACAGUACAAUCUAAAUAUUUGCCUUGCUUAUACUCACAUUCAUUAAACACCAUUCCUCUGUAUACACACACAGAGCAAAACAAUGUAAAUAUUAUUUGUAUGUAGAAUAAUUUCUCUAAACCCUAGAAAUUGAUUUUUUUAAAAUUUAACAUUUUAAUUAAUUGUUGAUUUGAUCAAUUGUUACUGGUGUUUUUUUUUUCUCUGUGUUAUAUGCAGUUUUUUAUUGUUGUUGCAUUUUAUUUUUAUAUCUUUAAAACCCCUUUUGCAUUCAUAUUAGUCUUUCAAAUGUAAUGCUUAUUUAUUCACAUUGUUUUAAAUUAAUUAUACACAUUGUGUAACUUUGAGAUUUUGAUGAUGUUACUGUUUACUUUGAGAAUAAUAUAGUACGGUAGAUGUAAGAGGCUGAAUGUAACCAAUUUGAACAUAAAACGUGUAGGAUAUUUGGGUCAGAUAUGGCUGGUUUAAAGAAUCAAUUACAGCUUUAGGUGUUGUGGGCAAAUACAGAUUCACACAUAUAAAUGCAAAUUCACUCAUUUAACCCUUUCGUUACCAGCCCGGCUGAAACCAGCUCUAGCUCUGAGUACAAAUGUCUUGUUUUCAUAAGUUUUGAAUUAAAAUCUUCCUCCAAACUUUAGUCACAAUUUAUGUUCCUAACACUAGCUUAAUGAUAACUAAGUUAUUUUACUAAAUUCUUUGUUAUAUUUAAAAUCAAUUGAAAGAAACACAGAGCAUCUCAACAGAAAUAUGGUAACAAAAUGGUUAAAAUAUAUAAUAGAGAAACAAUUCUUAACCCUUUUGAUACCAGCCUGGUUGAAACUGCCUCUGGCUCUGUAGUACAAAUGUCUUGUUUUCAUAAGUUUUGAAUUAAAAUCUUCCACCAAAACCUUAGUCACCAUUUAUGUUCCUAACACUAGCUUAAUGAUAACUAAGUUAUUUUACUAAAUUCUUUCUUAUAUUUAAAGUAAUUGAAAGAAACACAGAGCAUCUCAACAGAAAUGCGGUAACGAAAGGGUUAAAUACAUAUUCACACUCAGACUUGCAGAUGAUAUUAUAUAUUGGGUUCUCAGAUGAAUUCAUUCAUUUUUUUUUUCUACUUGGCUCUCCGUUGUCAUACAUGUGAAAAAAAGAUGAAGUUUUUUUCAAAUUUCAAAAAUGAUAAACAAAAGAAUUAGAGGACGAAUAGAGCUACAAAAGCCCAUGAAGUACUGCGAUAAAAAUAUUUUUCAUGUAAAUUCAAAUAACAUUGGAAAGGAUUAAAAUAAAUGAAUGUAAAACACCCUGAAAAACCCUAAAAGCAAAUUUAUCUGACAGUCCGAAAGUUAACUCUUUCAAGUAAUUCCUUUUCAAAGGUGAGUGAGAGCGGAGGAGUGGCUGUGUGUUAAGUAGCUUGCUGACCAACCACAUGGUUCCAGGUUCAGUCCCACUGCGUGGCACCUUGAUCAAGUGUCUUCUACUAUAGCCUCGAGUCAACCAAAGCCUUGUGAGUGGAUUUGGUAGACGGAAACUGAAAGAAACCUGUCGUAUAUAUGUAUAUAUAUAUGUAUAUAUAUAUAUAUAUAUAUAUAUAUAUAUAUAUAUAUAUAUAUAUAUAUAUAUAUAUAUAUAUGUAUAUAUAUAUAUGUAUGUAUGUAUGUUUGUGUGUCUGUGUUUGUCCCCACAACAUCGCUUGACAAUCGAUGCUGGUGUGUUUACAUCCCCGUAACUUAGCGGUUCGGCAAAAGAGACCGAUAGAAUAAGUACUAGGCUUACAAAGAAUAAGUCCUGGGAUCGAUUUGCUCGACUAAACUGAUUGAAACAAGUAAAAGAGUAAAAAGAGAGAGUAAAGAGAGAAAGAGAUAGCACUCCUGUGUUGCCACCAAUCUGUCUCUCAUGAAGCGCUGGGUCCAAAGGGGUAUCAGCCAACGAGCUAAGAGGGCCGUUGUUUGUAGCUGUUAGCAACAGCGACCAACACCCUUAACUUUCAGAUUGCCCUUUAAGUAGAUACUCUGCGUAUGGAAUAACGUAUUCCAAGCCAUUGCGGUAGGGCAAGGUUGAUGAGUGGUUUCAGUGGCUGAUAAACACUUGAAGGAUGAUGAAUGCCUCUCUGAGCUGAUUUCCUUUAGAUACACAAUUUGAAGACUUAAUGGAUUAUGAGACAACACACACACACACACAUGAUCAAACAAACAAAAGCCAAAAUUAAAGCAGACUAAGAUACUAAGGAGUAAAUUGCUGCACUAGCCACUGUAAUAUAGCUAGUUCAAUUGUCUAGCAUUAGUUUUUAAUUUUUUAAUUACCUAUACUCAUAUACAUAAGUGUGUGUGUGUAAGGGUAAAGACCCCCUUCGGUCAUGAAUGACCAUGGGAUUGCACCUAGAAAGUUACCCUCCUAGACACAAGUCCGGGCAAGGUUGUUUAUGGAAGAGCAGCAGUCGCCCAUGCAUACCAGCCUCCCCUCUCCACACCACCAGUGUUAUCCAAGGGAAAGACAAAGGUCGAUACAGCUUGGCACCAGUGACGUCGCAACUCAUUUCUACAGCUGAGUGAACUGGAGCAACGUGAAAUAAAGUGCUUUGCUCAAGAACACAACACGCAGCCCGGUCCGGGAUUCGAGCUCACAACCUCACGAUCGUAAGCUCGACGCUCUAACCACUGAGCCAUGCGCCUUAUAUAUAUAUAUAUAAAAUUUAAUAAGGGUAGAAAUUGAUAUUAGUCAAUUAAAACCAGUGGCCCAGCAUAUUAAAAAGAAUCCGAAGAUUAAAAUAUUGUAUGUAUAUAUAUAUAUAUAUAUAUAUAUAUAUAUAUAUAUAUAUAAAUGUGACUGCGUGUGUACUGUUGGCAAUUUGUUUUUCCUCUGUCUUCCCUUCUCUGGAUCUUUCCUUCUCCUAUGUUUCCGACGAAGAGCUCCGCUUGAAACGUUAAACCCUCCUUCUUUCCUGAGCAUCCAAUAAUACUAUAUUUGUUCCACGUCCUCGCGUUCUGUUUUUUUUUGUGCUUUCUUGUUUGUAUUAACUAUAUAUAUAUAUAUAUAUAUAUAUAUAUAUAUAUAUAUACACACACACACACACAUAUACAUAUAUGCACAUACACACCAUGUGACCUGCCUUGACCAAUAGCAGCCCAUUCUUCUAGUAGCCAUUUUGGACUUCCUGUAUUCCUUCAUUCAGUAACCUGAGCCUGAAAGAGCCAGGUUUCUCUUAGCAGCCUGCAAAACUUUAACUCACAUGGAGCCAAAUCCAACUGUUCUAAAUAAUGAUAAUGAUAAUAAUAACAGCACACAUAAUAUCGGUAUUUCAUCUGUCUUUAUGUUUUGAGUUCUUUAGAUUCAGUCAACUGCUUUUUAAAAGUAGUGUUCUUUUAUUAAUGCCAUGUGUAUCCUGGUUUUACAAUGGGUGCACUGUGUCCAGAUACUUCAUAAGAGGCACCUAAAGACUGGGUGGGCAUCUUCAUCAUCAUCAUCAUCAUUGUUUAACGUCCGCUUUUGAUGCUGGCAUGGGUUGGAUGGUUUGACUGAAAACUGUUGAACUGGGGGGCUGCAGCAGAGUGUAGUGGUUGCUCUUUACGUGCCACCAGCACGGGGGCCAGUCAGGCGGUACUGGCAAUGACCUUGCUCGAAUCUUUUUACACAUGCCACCGGCACCGGCACAGGUGCCAGUAAGGCGAUGUUGGUAACGAUCAUGCUUAAAUGGUGCCCUUUUACAUGCCACUGGCACAGAAGCCAAGUUGGCUGCACUGGCAACGAUCACGUUCGGAUGGUGCUCUCUACUCUCUCAAUAUAAAGUCACGCUAUCACAAUUUCAUUGAUUACCCUAAUCAUGAAUCUACAUUACCUAUCGGGUAGGCAAUAACAGAGGUUUGAGAAUUUAAUCUGGUUGUAAAUCAGUACCUCAUAAAUAUCAACUCUAACUUUCCCCAAGCGUGGUAAUAUUUUCCCAUGAUCGGAUAUUGUUUCUGCAGAAUAUUAGAGAUGUAUGGCACUGCUUGUAUGACAGCAACACUCAUUUACAGCAAUCAGAUAAUGUCAAGACAAGGAGACAAAAACAUAUACACACAUAUAUAUAUAUAUACAUACAAUGGGAUUCUUUUAGUUUCCAUCUACUAAAGCUACUCACAGGGCUUUAGUUGGCCUGAACACUACAGUAAAUGACAUUUACCUAAGGUGCCAUGCAGUAGAACUGAAGUCAAAACCAUACGGUUGAGACGUGACAGUAAAAUCCUGAAUCAAAGAAAUCUCUGUCUAUACUCAUGGUCAAAAAAUAUGCUAAACAAAGGAAAGCAAAUAUGAGGGCUUACCACUAAUGGUUCCAUGCUUUUCCAGAGGGCAAUGCCUUUAAUCUCAUCAUAUCUGUUUUCUAUCAACAUAGAAUUUAUGCCAUUUCUUGUGCCUGUUUGUCAAGUGUGUAUUUAUAUUUACGGUUUUGAGCAAUAAAUAUCCCAAGUACAUUAAGUUUCAUAACCUUCCUGACCCCUUAUGGAUGAAGUAAUUUUAGUGAAGGUCAUUACACCCACCUUUUUAAUUGUUUAAUUGUUUGUAAAAAUCGUGGUCAUAAUUUUGUAUCAAUUUUCAUUUACAUGAAGCUUUUAAGCUUUUGGUCCUCUUGUACUGCUCACCCCAUUGGACAGCAAGCUUCCUAAACUGUGUCCGGUCAGUUGCUGCUCUUGCAUAUCCAUUCCAUGUAACGUUGACCGCCUUCAGGUCAUCUUGAAAUGUCCACCACUAGGUGAUCUUCAGCCGGCUUCUUUUACGUCUGCUAUCAGGUGGUACACGAAUCGUGGCUGUUUUUGAGUAUUUUUGAUUGGUCAGAGAAAGACUGUAGCUUAAGACAAACAAUUUUAAAAAAAUUUUUUUUUGUAGCCAAUGUGAUUGGCUCAAACAUUAAUUAAUGUAUCUAUAGAAUUAACUUCAAUUACAUUGGUAAUUAAUUGUCUGUAAAAAUGCAUGAACAAUUUAUGUAUUUCAUAUUCAUCCUGACACUAUCAUCAUCAUCAUCAUUUAAAGUCUGUUUUCUAUUUGGCAUGGGUUGGACGGUUCAACUAGGGUCUGGGAAGCCAGGAGGCUGCACCAAGCUCCAGUCUGAUCUGACAGUGUUUCUACAGCUGGAUGCCCUUCCUAACGCCAACCACUCUGAGAGUGUAGUAGGUGCUUUUUACAUGCCACCGGCACAGGGGCCAGAGGAAGCUGGCAACGGCCAUGAUCGGUUGGUGCUUUUUAUGUGCCACCAGCAUGAAAGCCAGUCAAGACAAUGCUGGCAUUGGCCCUGUUCGGAUGGUGCUUUUUACGUGCCACUGGCACGGGGAUCACAACUACAAUUUCCAUUUGAUUUUGAUGUAUUUGACUCAAUAGGUCUCCACAAGUACGGCAUGUCACCCUACGAUCCAAGGUACUUUUGAGUGGGCUGGUUAUGCGACACUGGUGUUGGUUACAGCUGUGAACUCACUUUAUUUCUCAGUCACAGCAAAUCUCCAGAGGUCUCGGUCUUUUGUCAUUGCUUCUGUGUGGCCCAACAUUCGAAGGUCAUGCUUCAUCACCUCAUCCCAUGUCUUCCUGGGUCUCCCUCUACCCCGGAUUCCUUCCACUGUUUGGGAGUGGCACUUCUUCACACAGCUCUCCUCAUUCCUCAUCCAUCCGUAGUACAUGACCACACCACGGAUGUAUGAUGUAAUUAUUCUCAUAAUCUCAACUCGUUGAACCAAUAUUCCACCAAAUUCAUUCUGUCAGUCUGUGGCAGAGGAGAUUUAUGGUCUUUUGUUAGAAUUAUUGUAGAAUUAUUUUGUACAGAAUAUGGUUACUUCUGAUCAUUAUAUGAAGAACCUUUUCCUGCUUUGUAUCAAGUUCCUGAUUCAUAUCACACUUCACUAUUACCAACAUUCUUUCAAUUACAGGAACUAUUCUUGUGUCCAUGCUGUAAAUUUUUUCCUGUCCUUCAUUCUACAGGAGGACUACAGCUGCUUUAAAUAUAUCUCACCGUGACAAUAUGUAUACGUCAUGUGAUUGACCAGAUUCUCAGAUGUCGUUAUACAUCGCUGGUCACAAUGCACUUUGCAUCAUUUUAGCUUUUGAAUGAUGCCACUUCACUGGCUGGGCAAGCAGGCCAAUAUUUCCCCUGAUCAGAAGGCUAGUCCAUUAUAGGUUGUACCCAUUUACAGCUGAGUGGACUGGAGAAGCGUGAAGUGAAGUGUUUUGCUCAAGAAUAUAAUGCAUCGCUUAGUCCAAGGACUGAAACCACAAUCUAGCAAUUGUGAGUGCAACUCCUAACCAUUAGGUCAUGCAUCUUCACACACACACUCAUCAUCAUCAUUUAGUGUUCCCUUUACUAUGCUGGUAUGGGUUGGUUGGUUCAACAAGAACUGAUGAGCCAGAGGACUGCUCCAAAUGGCAAUGUCUGUUUUGGCAUAGUUUCUAUAGCUGGAUGCCCUUCUCAAUGCUAACCACUUUACAAAGUGUAUUGGGUGCAUUUUAUGUGACAGCAGCACUAGUGAGGUCACUAAGUACUCACAAGACAAGAACCCCGCUCAACUGAAUGAGGGUAUAGUAUUGAAGGAUGUAAAAGUACAAGAAAGGGACAGGAACAGGUGUCUUGCUGACAUGGCUAACAUAUGGCUUCCACAUCUGAUGAUGAUGAAGGUGUACUCUCUAAGUACAAGGUGAAAAUGGGAGAGGGGGAAUAGGAUAGAGGAACAGAAAUGGUGGGUGGGUGGGUAGUUCAUUUGAGUGUGAAAAGAAUGUGGCAGUGAGAGUGAUAGGGAGAUAAUGCAUUUUGCUUCACAUUUUUUAAUUAGAUCAAAAAUUCUAAGAUUUGUAGAUAGAUGUCACCAGCCACAUAUUUGCAGUCCUUCAUGUUUACAUGAAAAAAAGAUAUGUUGCUGGAAGAAGCCAUUAAAACCCAGAAAACUAAAUGAUAAAUUGCCACAUGUGCAACUACAUAAGAAAUGCAUGCACACAUGUAUACAUGUACACAGAUGCACCCUUCACGUUUGUAUAUACACACAUGCACAAACACAUGCUCACAUGCACCUACACAUGCACACAAAUACAUGUAAGUUUCACUUCAUCCAAUUUAUUUCCAAUUCAAGUCUUUUAACUUGCUUCCAUCCUCGUUCAACAAUCUGUAUUUUUUACUUUCUUGCUCCGAUCGCUGUCUUACGCCUCAAGAUAAAAGUGUGAAAAUGAAACCCCUUUUCUUGGAUCUCCUGUUACUCUCACUGCAGCAGUUGUUCCCUUCUCCUUUCCAGCAGGAGUUCAUAUAUUUUAGUUUUAUUUCCUCCCUCAUUGUAUGUAUGAAGAAAUCAAACAAUUACAAAAGGUUCUGUCAAUGCUUUGUUUUAAAAAAAAAAGCUGAGGAAAUUAACUUUUACAGACCCUUUUUUUACCCUUGUCUACCCACUCAUUAACCCUUUCAUUACCAACCCGGCUGAAACCAGCUCUGGCUCUGAGUACAAAUGUCUUGUUUUCAUAAGUUUUCAAUUAAAAUCUUCCACCAAACUGUUCCUAACACUAGCUAAAUGAUAACUAAGUUAUUUUACUAAAUUCUUUGUUAUAUUUAACAUUAAUUGAAAGAAUCACAGAACAUCUCAACAGAAAUAUAGAAACAAGAGGGUUAACUAGGUUUUAUAGAAUUGACAUCACAGUUUCAGUUCAUUUAUCCCUCUUUCUUUCACAUUCUGAUGUUACACUCAAUUUCUUUUCAAUCUGUAUCCUCUUCUAUUCCAAUGCAUUCCAUUUCUCUGUAGUCUUUUAUUGCUGUUAUUAAUUUAUAUCCUGUCCCACGGCACUGGUUUAUUGUCCUGAAAAAAUUUGUUUUUAAUUUUGGCAACUCACAUAUAUGUCUGGCUCUCAACUAACAGUGGAAUCGUAAGGACACUGUGGUCAAAAACUGCAUGCCAGUUUCCUCCAUCAGCAUGGCAUAAUGGUUUGGGUACUGCACUAAUGAUUGCCAGAUUGCAGUUUUGACCCCUGGACGAAGCAGUGCAUUGCAUUUUUAAGCAGAACACUUCAUUCCACAUUGCUGCUGUCUACUUGGCUGUAAAUCAGUCACUCUGCAAUGGACCAGUAUCCCAUUCGAGGGAAAUGUUGUGAUUUCAUUGACUUAUACACAAUGAGUGGAGGUACAUGGCCUAGUGGUUAGAGCAGCAGACUCGCGGUCGAGGGAUCGUGAGUUCGACUCUCAGACCGGGCGAAACACCUAAGCUCCACACGGCUCCGGCAGAAGGUAAUAGCGAACUUCUGCUGACUCUUUCGCCACAACUUUCUCUCACUCUUUCCUCCUGCAUCUUGCAGCUCACCUGUGACAGACCAGCGUCCCAUCCAGGUGGGGAACCUAUACGCCAAGGAAACCAGGAAACCGGCCCUUAUGAGCCAGGAAUGGCUCGAGAAGGAACAAACAACAACUUAUACACAAGGAAUACCACAUAACAGAUGCUAUGAGUUCUAUUCUACGUGCAGUUGAUGUCGCAGAAAAAUAUUGUACUCUGCUGCUUUAUUUCUAUGUUUCCUUUUUUUUUUAUCAAUGAGCCAUGAAUACAGAAUGCUCCUUUAAAGGUAUCUCAUCACCCGUUAGUUGCAAUGUUUAAUUUUACAUUCUUCUUCGUAGACUUUUAUUCUUAAGCCAACCAUUUCUUGUUUCAUUUGCUGAUUUGACUUAUCUUCUGCUACUUCAAUAUUUGUAGCAAGUAAUGCAAAUGUCUGCUGUUAUUUUCCAUCCUUCUUCUCCACCCUCUAUUCCAGGGUGGAUUGUGGAGCUAGAGUCUUUUGACCCCCCCUCCCCACAGAAACCUCUCAGAAGCAGCCAUCAUUAUACAUACCAUUUCCCAAUUACUAAUAGUUGUUCCCUCCUGGACCCACUUCAGCUUCCCAAAACCUGCAUCCUUUGUGCACCUACCCAACACUUCCCAGAAUAUGAUGCAGGCUCAGGCUUACCAUUAAUUAUACUGGCAUUGGAUGGAAACAGCAUUAGAAUGGACCCCUCUACCUUAGAUCCAAAUGUGUCUUUUGUUGACCCAUGCAGUGGGCAAUGUGAUAUGGUUAUCCUUUGGAACUCUUUUCAUAUUGCAGAUUUCGGUAGUCUUAUUCAUGCCAGGCACCAAGUUGCCAUUUGGAUUGGACUCAGUUAUUUUCAUUCGUUUUAUGAAUCUAUCGCUAUUGUAGACGCAGGAGUGGCUGUGUGGUAAGUAGCUUGCUA
rnacentral:lncRNA from 1 species